rnacentral:rRNA from 1 species
AGGACGAACGCUGGCGGCGUGCUUAACACAUGCAAGUCGAACGGUAAGGCCCCUUCGGGGGUACACGAGUGGCGAACGGGUGAGUAACACGUGGGUAAUCUGCCCUGCACUUCGGGAUAAGCCUGGGAAACUGGGUCUAAUACCGGAUAUGAACUCCUGCCGCAUGGGUGGGGGUUGGUAAAGUUUUUCGGUGCAGGAUGAGCCCGCGGCCUAUCAGCUAGUUGGUGAGGUAAAGGCUCACCAAGGCGACGAUCUGUAGCUGGUUUGAGAGGACGACCAGCCACACUGGACUGAGACACGGCCCAGACUCGACGGGAGCAGCAGGUGGGUAAUUAGGACAAGUGGGGAAACCCUGAUCCGAGCCACUCCCGCGUGUCGCGAGUAGAACGGUCCGUU